rnacentral:misc_RNA from 1 species
AACACAUUUGCCCCGACGACGGGGGGGCACACAGGCACGCACCUCAUACAGCGCAUGGCAUCUCAGGGCACGGUGCCCCUGCCCCCCACCCCCACCCACUCUGAGGGCGGAAGCCAAGCAGCUCCCAACCUAACCCUGCCAAUGCCAAGCCCCUUCGCGUGGUGACAGGGUCAAGCACCUACAAGGUAGGGGAGGCCAGAGCGAUGCACCGCCACGGAUGCCGGCGGCCCGGUCCUGGACGGGCGCUGCGUCGGAGCGGCCUGCGACGGCGAGCACGCUUGUGCGCCACCCAUAUGGCUAGGCAGUGUGCCAACACGUGACUCGAGCGCAGCUCAGCCGGCCCUCACACUGCCCACGGGGGCGAGGGGACCCUGAGCCACCGCGAAGGCGGAGGGGACGCGCCACGCGGCGGCGUGCGAAGUGGGUAGGUGGGGGGAGAGGUUGAGGCCGAGGGCAUGCUCCGAUGGCUGAGGCGGCGCAUCGCCCUGGCGCGUGUCGACGGCCGCUUCGCACCACAUGACGGGCGGCGUGUGACAGGGCCCGGUGGCGGUAGCGCGUGGCGUUUCACCUCACAUGGUGUGCGGCAGACAAAAUCGAAAAUGUGGAAGAGGCGACAACGUCUUUGCUCUCAAGCUGGUGCGCCUACCCAUACCCACUUUUUGCUCUCGCUCUUCCGCAGUCAACACUCGUCUCUCUCUACCCCCGUCUCUCUGCUCCCGUAAACGGCACCCCCACCGCACCACACAG